GGAGCCGAAAACCGGAUGCCAGGCAACCUUAUAUGAUGUACUUUUAAAUUUGAGUGCUUAAGAUUUGAUAUAACAAACAGUUGCUUCUAACUACUGUUUUCUUAAUGCUGAACAGCUCUUAAUGAAGUUUUGAUGGGUGUGGUUAAAACACCAAAUGGAGUCAUUUGAUUGUGUAACUACAGGCACAGAUCUUCAGCUGGGAUAAGUGACUGUUCCUUGGAAAAGACCUGACAUGACCAAAAAUUGAAAGCAGCACCAGGAUGCUGAAAAAUGGAGCUCUUUGUAAGAGCUAAUUAGACUGCCUCUACAAAAUCUUAGGAAACUGCACUUGCCAAAGAAUUGAGACAGGCUGAUAUUUGCUGUGAAUGGAAUGAAAGGACUGGAUAUGUUGGAAAUUUGGAGUUUUGACCUGAGACUACAAACCAAUGGAACUUAUACAUUUUGCGUAUUUGUAUAAAACUUACUUGAGCAUACAAUGCUGAUAUAUACUAAGUUACUUAAACUUCCUACAUUUUGUCUAUAUUACUUUCUUGAUGGUUUAGUAGAACAUUUGCUGUAGAUUGGUUUUUAAUACGAAAUGUGUUAUACACACAUUUGUGGCUUGUAUGUUUCUAUAUCUGUGUAUAAUAUUAAAUCUGAGAUACUACAUUAUCAAGUACUGUAUGUUUUAUCUGUAUGAGUUUGAAGUAGUGCAGUACUCACAAAUGAUUUUAUGCAGGUUAUUCCAAAAAGUGACAAUAAAAUCACUUGUAUUUUAACAGACCAUCAUGUGGGAUUCCUGCAUCAUGUGGUGGAAGGGAUAAAGGGGACAGAAGUAUAGUUCUGGGAGAACAGUAUUUCCUGAGUGCUGGGGGAUGGAGAACAGGAGAGCUUUCCCUCUGUUUUUAGUAGAGGAGGCAAAGUUGUGCCUUCCCCUGAUUCUUAACUUGGUUUAGACUAUCAGAAAGAGACAUGGGAUAAUUCCCAGCUUUUGUGUUUGAGACUGGAUGACUGAAUAGCCCAAAAGCAGUCUAAGGCCAAAAAUAUAUAAAGUUUGUAAGCCAAUCCAAGACAAAUGGUAUAAAACAUAUGUAGAUUUAAGACUAAACAUUGCUUCAGAUAGGUGGACCACAACCUUACAGUUUAUUUUGGGAGUGAGCGAGAAAACAAAAUGCUGACAUUUUUUAGAAUAUCUGUGUUUGUAUCAAUCUCUGAGGGUCUCCCCAUCUUCUCCUUAGCAUUGAAGUGUCUCAAAAGUUAAGUAUCCAAUUUUUGCAUUUCUUUCCUCUUUUUCAUUCCGGCCAGUCGUUGAAAUAAACUUCUGAGCCCUUUCCACUCUCCCUCCCCUUUUGUAAAUGAAUACUCUUAUUUUGUAUUAAAGGGACAGUGUAAGCUUGAAAUCUAGUUAUGUCAUUGUAGGUACUAUACCUGCUUCUGAGUCAUUCUGCUAAUUUCUGUAGUAUUAACAAUCACACUUUCCUGUUUUCAUAAGUGUAUUCUUUUCCGUUUCUUUGUGAACACUGCCCCUCUCCUUCGCAAGCAAGCGCACACAGCAGAAAUUGUACAUUUUCAGCACUUGCAGUUUGUAAUGAAUAAAGAAUGAUUUUUUAAAAAAUCAAUCUCUUUAUUUCAUUAAUAUUUUGGCCAGUUUUGAAAGAGUAUUGUAGUCAAGGUAAAGCAAUUCAGAUUAUUCAAAAAUUUCAUUUCACUAAGUAGAAUGGUUUAAACUUUGGACUUAUACAUAUGUGUAUUGAAAUCACCAUUGUAGAAAGCUUUUUUUUUGGGGGGGGGGGGACGUAAAGCCCUGAUUCUGUUAAUUCUGUUACUAAAUAAGAGGUGAGGUCUAAGAGAAGAAUUUCCCAACAAGUUAAGAGAUGACCUCAGAGAAACUGACAUACAAAUAGGUAUGAAAGGACCCAAAGUAUUGAAGUAUGAAAGUUGUACAAUAUUCAUUUUCCUAAAUGAAUAACAAGAGGGCUACAUGUAUAUCAAGAGCAGCCUAGUUUCCUUUCGAUAGGGGCAGGGAUUGUUUGUUCUGUUUGUACAGAGGCAUCCUGGUCCAUGAUUGCGACUCCUUCAUGCUACCAUGAUACAAAUAAUUAAUAACAGAAGAAAAGACACACACAGUAGAGUGGAAGUUGUAAUCAGGAGGCGAAAUUGAGGAGGCACAGGUAGACGAAACAUGAAGUAAGGAACUGGUUAAGACCUCACAAUUGGAAAUCAUGGAAAUAAUGGCUAUGGAAGAGCAAAGAAGUCCUUUGUUCUUCUUACUACUCUUCCUGGUAGCCAAACAUCUAUAGAGCCCUUCAGCCAAGUCCUUGAUUAUAUGUAUUUUGCCUAUGGGGAG